rnacentral:rRNA from 1 species
UAGGGAAUAUUGGACAAUGGUUGCAAGACUGAUCCAGCCAUGCCGCGUGCAGGAAGAAGGCCUUCUGGGUCGUAAACUGCUUUUCUCUGGGGAUAAAAAGACCCUGCGGGGUAAAUUGUAGGUACCAGAGGAAUAAGCCACGGCUAACUACGUGCCAGCAGCCGCGGUAAUACGUAGGUGGCAAGCGUUGUCCGGAUUUAUUGGGUUUAAAGGGUGCGUAGGCGGUUCCAUAAGUCAGUGGUGAAAUACGGCAGCUCAACUGUCGAGGUGCCAUUGAUACUGCGGAACUUGAGUACUGAUGAGGUAGGCGGAAUUGACGGUGUAGCGGUGAAAUGCUUAGAUAUCGUCAAGAACACCGAUAGCGAAGGCAGCUUACCAAGGAGUAACUGACGCUGAGGCACGAAAGUGCGGGGAUCAAAC